rnacentral:rRNA from 1 species
UACGGGGGGGGCAAGCGUUGUUCGGAAUUACUGGGCGUAAAGGGCUCGUAGGCGGCCAACUAAGUCAGACGUGAAAUCCCUCGGCUUAACCGGGGAACUGCAUCUGAUACUGGAUGGCUUGAGUACGGGAGAGGUGUGUGGAACUCCGAGUGUAGAGGUGAAAUUCGUAGAUAUUCGGAAGAACACAGUGGCGAAGGCGACACACUGGCCGUUACUGACGCUGAGGCGCGAAAGCGUGGGGAGCAAACAGG